rnacentral:rRNA from 1 species
GACGAACGCUGGCGGCGUGCCUAAUACAUGCAAGUUGAGCGCUGAAGGUUGGUACUUGUACCAACUGGAUGAGCAGCGAACGGGUGAGUAACGCGUGGGGAAUCUGCCUUUGAGCGGGGGACAACAUUUGGAAACGAAUGCUAAUACCGCAUAAAAACUUUAAACACAAGUUUUAAGUUUGAAAGAUGCAAUUGCAUCACUCAAAGAUGAUCCCGCGUUGUAUUAGCUGGUUGGUGAGGUAAAGGCUCACCAAGGCGAUGAUACAUAGCCGACCUGAGAGGGUGAUCGGCCACAUUGGGACUGAGACACGGCCCAAACUCCUACGGGAGGCAGCAGUAGGGAAUCUUCGGCAAUGGACGAAAGUCUGACCGAGCAACGCCGCGUGAGUGAAGAAGGUUUUCGGAUCGUAAAACUCUGUUGGUAGAGAAGAACGUUGGUGAGAGUGGAAAGCUCAUCGAGUGACGGUAACUACCCAGAAAGGGACGGCUAACUACGUG